ACCGGCGCACGGGUGAGUAACACGUAUCCAACCUGCCGAUAACUCGGGGAUAGCCUUUCGAAAGAAAGAUUAAUAUCCGAUAGCAUAUCAAGAUCGCAUGAUCUUGAUAUUAAAGAAUUUCGGUUAUCGAUGGGGAUGCGUUCCAUUAGUUAGUUGGCGGGGUAACGGCCCACCAAGACGACGAUGGAUAGGGGUUCUGAGAGGAAGGUCCCCCACAUUGGAACUGAGACACGGUCCAAACUCCUACGGGAGGCAGCAG
rnacentral:rRNA from 1 species